rnacentral:rRNA from 1 species
GUGUCAGCAGCCGCGGUAAUACGUAGGCAGCAAGCGUUGUUCGGAGUUACUGGGCGUAAAGGGUGUGUAGGCGGUUUUCUAAGUCUGGUGUGAAAUCUCCCGGCUCAACUGGGAGGGUGCGCCGAAAACUGGAAGGCUAGAGUACUGGAUGGGUAAGUGGAAUUCCUGGUGUAGCGGUGAAAUGCGUAGAUAUCAGGAGGAACACCUGUGGUGUAGACGGCUUACUGGACAGUAACUGACGCUGAGACACGAAAGCGUGGGUAGCAAACAGGAUUAGAAACCCGGGUAGUCC